AUUGAACGCUGGCGGCAGGCUUAACACAUGCAAGUCGAGCGAGCGGCGGACGGGUGAGUAAUGUCUGGGAAACUGCCUGAUGGAGGGGGAUAACUACUGGAAACGGUAGCUAAUACCGCAUAACAUCAGAUGUGCCCAGAUGUGGUUAGCUGGUAGGUGGGGUAAAGGCUCCCCUAGGCGACGAUCCCUAGCUGGUCUGAGAGGAUGACCAGCCACACUGGAACUGAGACACGGUCCAGACUCCUACGGGAGGCAGCAGUGGGGAAUAGUGCACAAUGGGCGAAAGCCUGAUGCAGCCAUGCCGCGUGUGUGAAGAAGGCCUUCGGGUUGUAAAGUACUUUCAGCGAGGAGGCGUUACCCACAGAAGAAGCACCGGCUAACUCCGUGCCAGCAGCCGCGGUAAUAC
rnacentral:rRNA from 1 species